rnacentral:tRNA from 1 species
UGGGGCGUCGCCAAGUGGUAAGGCACCGGGUUUUGGUCUCGGCAUCCCUAGGUUCGAAUCCUAGCGCCCCAG